UACAGAGGGUGCAAGCGUUAAUCGGAAUUACUGGGCGUAAAGCGCAUGUAGGUGGAUAUACAAGUCUGAUGUGAAAGCCCUGGGCUUAACCUGGGAACUGCGUUGGAAACUGAAUGUCUAGAGUCGGAUAGAGGAUAGUGGAAUUUCCGGUGUAGCGGUGAAAUGCGUAGAGAUCGGAAAGAACAUCAGUGGCGAAGGCGGCUAUCUGGAUCCAGACUGACACUGAGGUGCGAAAGCGUGGGUAGCAAACAGG
rnacentral:rRNA from 1 species